AAAAACCCAAUUACCAAAACAUUGACUCAAUUAGAAGAUUGCUAAGGCAAGUUGAAAUAGACCAUUGGCUCAAGUGUUGUUAUUGGGAAAGCCAGUUAAUAAAUGUUUGUACAAUUAUUCAUAAAAAAUAUUGAGUCAGGUGAUAAAUUGUUGUUGGGUGAACGCCAACAAUGGCUGAUAUUGACUCAACUAACAUACAGUAAUUGAGUGAAUGGAUUGGACAAGUUUUGCAUUUGUUGACUGAACAAAUGUGGGCGGCGUCAUUUGCGGUAAUGAACUUCGAGCAAAGGAAGUACGGCAAAGCCACAAAGUUUGUCGACACGGCCUCACGGAGGGACGAGGAGUGACAGACGAAAGGAGGUCGUUGCUGAAGAUGUGCAUGUCUCCACAAUCAGCCAGAGAUGGCCAGCCCUAUUCCUGUUGGGUCAGGUACAUGCAGAAUUCAGAAGAGUAACAGGAAAAGAAUUGAUGGAAACGUUCUUCCCCUCCUUGGAUGAGCACACCAGAGC